rnacentral:rRNA from 1 species
GACGAACGCUGGCGGCGUGCUUAACACAUGCAAGUCGAACGGAAAGGCCCUGCUUUUGUGGGGUGCUCGAGUGGCGAACGGGUGAGUAACACGUGAGUAACCUGCCCUUGACUUUGGGAUAACUUCAGGAAACUGGGGCUAAUACCGGAUAGGAUCUCCUGCUGCAUGGUGGGGGUUGGAAAGUUUCGGCGGUUGGGGAUGGACUCGCGGCUUAUCAGCUUGUUGGUGGGGUAGUGGCUUACCAAGGCUUUGACGGGUAGCCGGCCUGAGAGGGUGACCGGCCACAUUGGGACUGAGAUACGGACCAGACUCCUACGGGAGGCAGCAGUGGGGAAUAUUGCACAGUGGGCGGAAGUCUGAUGCAGAGACGCCGCGUGCGGGAUGACGGCCUUCGGGUUGUAAACCGCUUUCGCCUGUGACGAAGCGUGAGUGACGGUAAUGAGUAAAGAAGCACCGGCUAACUACGUG